AACUCGGUGGUGUAGUGGGUAGCAUGCAUGACCGGUAUGGAUGAGACGUGAGUUCGACUCCCGUCUAGGUCG